ensembl:lncRNA
AGACACCCGUGUAAUGGGCAGUGGACUAGCAAAUGACACGCAGUAAACCUUUUCAUCAAACAGUCCACAUCAACUAGAUUGUCCACUAGAAAUAGGCUUGUAUGACGUUCGUGGGUGGAAAAUUCAGAACUGCAGGCCUACUUUAAAUACAAUGAGAACAGACGGAAGAUUUCGAGCUUCAGAGAGAUCGCAAAAGCACCAUGAAGGUCUGGGAUUGUGGCCUAGGCCUACAACUCGUGCACUAUAUUCAAAUCCUUAUAAAGGUAUGCGAUAUCUUACCGAAAUUCAAGUUGUUGUUCAGGGUUCAAGAUAACGAGCAAAUCCUUUUUAUGUUUCGGUUAUGUCGAUUCAUUCCCGAAUCGAUCUGAUUCGUGGGUUCAACUCACUGAUUCACUUGGUCACAGCAGUUACUGCGUUCACUGAGUUAACUGGAGGGAAAUUUAUAUUUGAAUAACAGCUUAAAUUUCGACAUGUUCUUCGCACACAAAGACUUGUAUCAGAGGAAUUUAGUGCACGAGGUCAUAUGAACCGCAUUCAUGAUACGUUUGACAGUAAGUUUCCAGCCAUGAGUUUGGAAAGACAUGAAGGUGUCGGUGCAGUUUAAUAGACAGACACCACGCCACUGCUCCAUCGCAAUUAGGAGGAGGUUGCGUGAAUGGGUGUGAUUAAGAAGAUGGAAGAUUAUGACCCCUCCGAGUGGGCAUACAGAGCCGGGGACUGUGUGCACAACUGCUGAUGGGGAGAAGGAAGCUGUGGAAUGAAAUUGAGAUAAAGCUGGAUGGACAAGAUGCUUAGAGCAGAGAAACAGGGGAGGAGACUAGUCUCCUUCGAAGGAAACGCUUCUCUUCACACAUUUUUAGUUUCAUAAUAGGGGUCAGUGAGUGCAGAAGAGUUGGAUUACAUUAGCGCCGCAUUAUGGGCCAAGCUUUUGCAGCACACAUACAUGUGAGCAAUACAAAUUAAAAAUAGGUGAAUAGCGCAAAUUGCUUUCAGAUAAUAAAAUGGUUCAACCUGUUAUUAUGACGUCACAGGGGAGUCAAGAGAACAUUUAGGCACAUCUGAUGUUUCUGGGUAUUAGUGUUCAUUUUAAUGAAAUAGCAUGUUAAUGGAAGGCUGCAGAAUAUUGAAAAAGUGUCAGCACACAGAGAAUACUGUGUGGACAAUGAACUGUGUUAUGAAAUGAAAAUGCAUGUAGAAAAUGUUGCACUUUUACACACAAACCCACUGAUUUCUGCUCCUUGCUUUUCAUGGAAUUCCAGAGAAGCAUCCAUAUUUUAGCUAGUUGUUUUUGUGUAUUUUCCUGUAAAAUUUGCCAAGGAGGUCUAUAUAAUACCUGUAGAAAGCUAUUGAUUAGCAUUUCCAUUCAUCUCAAUGGGACCUGUUCAGCACAGGACCAUUGGUAUUUGGUAUUCACCAAAUAUUAAGAUGUGC